rnacentral:rRNA from 1 species
AUUGAACGCUGGCGGCAUGCCUUACACAUGCAAGUCGAACGGCAGCACGGGUGCUUGCACCUGGUGGCGAGUGGCGAACGGGUGAGUAAUACAUCGGAACAUGUCCUGUAGUGGGGGAUAGCCCGGCGAAAGCCGGAUUAAUACCGCAUACGAUCUACGGAUGAAAGCGGGGGACCUUCGGGCCUCGCGCUAUCGGGUUGGCCGAUGGCUGAUUAGCUAGUUGGUGGGGUAAAGGCCUACCAAGGCGACGAUCAGUAGCUGGUCUGAGAGGACGACCAGCCACACUGGGACUGAGACACGGCCCAGACUCCUACGGGAGGCAGCAGUGGGGAAUUUUGGACAAUGGGCGAAAGCCUGAUCCAGCAAUGCCGCGUGUGUGAAGAAGGCCUUCGGGUUGUAAAGCACUUUUGUCCGGAAAGAAAUCCUUGGCCCUAAUACGGUCGGGGGAUGACGGAACCGGAAGAAUAAGCACCGGCUAACUACGUG